CACCCCUCUCCACCACUGGAAAUCGCCUACGGCUGCGGAUCUUUCCCAAUUGACUUCAAAAUCUGACCACUUAAUCUCCAUGCCGUCCCCGUUCUUAAUUCCACAUUACUUUCCCCGAAAAUGUUCCUAAGCCCCUCGAAUUUCAGAUCUUAGACCUAAAGAAAGAAAUAACAAACAUAAUCUUUGGCUACCCCUUUUUUAAUCCCUCACCCACCUGAGCCAAUUCGAGUUAAACUUAUACCAAACGACUGUCUUCAAUAAAUACUUUUGUUGUUUCACCUCAUUUCACGGCGACUGGAUCUUGAUCAAACCUCCGCCAAGAGCUUUGAAUCAUCUGCUGCCAUAUUUCUCCUACCCCGGUAUGGUAAUUGAUAUCGUAACAUAUAGCACUAGCUAUGCCUAUAUGUGCGAGCCAGUGCUCAUGCUACGAUAUCGAUUAUCAUCCGGUGAUUUCCUAAUUUUGUUGGUUUCAAAGGUGAUACCAUUCUAUUCUUCAUGAUUAAACCUGUUAAUUCCUUUUGUGGUUUGUUAGUUCCCCUUGUUGAUUUAGUGGUAUGAGAGCUAUCUAUGUUUGUUUGUUCAAAUUGGUUUCAUGUGAGAUUGGUUACAUUUGCUUAGCUAGGUUAAUUGUUGUCUUUAAUUGCAUAUCUUAGAAUUUACUGAGUUCUCAUAUUUUGAUGGCCUUAGUCAUGGUUCAGGUGUUGCCCAUUACUCUUAAUUGUCUACUUUGUUUGUAAUAACCUUAUACUAUUUUUGAUUUUAACUUCAAGUGGGUUGGGUCGGUCUUGAUUGAUAAACAUGUUCAUAAAAGUGAAUCUGGGCUUCAGGGAAUGAAAGGCUAAAAAGGAACUGUGGUCCAUUAUCAACUAAGGUCCUGAUUGAUGAUAAUUACUAGAGGUAAUUACAGUUGUCUUAAGGGGUAUUAUAGGAAUUAGAAAAAACGAAUCUAUUCUCUAACCAUUUCAGAAGAUCCUAAAAGAUAGAUUAACGACCAAUUAGCAAUAAAAGUACAAAAUUAGGUCAAAAAGAGAUUAAAAAGGUUAAAAUACAAAGCUAAAGGCGGCUGGAAAGAAAGAGAGGUAACAAAAGGUUCUGCUUUACCAAAAAGCUGUUGUAGAAAGAUGUUUUUUCCUAUUUUUUAGGGCUGAUAUAUUCUCGAUAUUCUCUCAUUUUUAUUUUGUAUAAAAAGACACUCACACUCUCAUUCUAACACAUGCAAGAAAGAGAGCAAAUUGACCUUCUUUUUAUUUUUUUCUUGGCCUUCAUCUUUUGCAUUUUCAAUCAAAAAGAUCAGGCAUUCCCCUUUUGCAUUUGUUUUUUUUUUUUGCUUAAAAAGAAAGGACACUCAUCUUCACUGAUAUAGCUAUGAAGAUUUGGACAAGAAAAACUCAAAAACCAAAAAAAGAAGGGUUUCAAAACUCUA
rnacentral:lncRNA from 1 species